CUGAACUCGAGUAGGCCCCAAGCAAGGAAGGAAGGAAGGAGGCAGCAGACCCUCUGCCCAGACCAGACCAUCCAGAACAGCUAUUGCUAGAUCCUGUGUGUCAGUUGGAAGACUACUCUACAAAAUAGGUGAAGGCCUGAGACCUUAGCGAACAGAGCAUAGAGAACAGGGAUAGCAAACAGGACGUAGAAGUUUUGCAGGAUUUUAACGGGAAGUGUGCGGGGGAGUUUGGAUCACAAGGAGCCUGGUGGAGAAGAGAACGGUACAAUAACAGCACGGAGUUGGGACCUGAAAUGGCAUGGGCCAUAAUUACAAAAGGGAAAAGGAGCUAUUCAAGCUAGAGAUGCGAAGAUGAAAGGAUAUCAUAAUCAUCAGCAAAGGAAAAAGAGGACAUUAGCGCCUAUGGCUGAUAAUCUACAUUAUUUUAAGAGUCAUUCCCUUUUAAGUUAUUCAAUUAUAUCAAUGAGAAUUGUACAAACCGACUGAGCAAGUAAGCUAUAGAACAGCCAAACCUUAACAAUCCAACACUGCUCUCUGGUGGCAUGAAACAAAGGCAUUCUAACCUCUACAGAAAACUCACACAGGUCCAGUACAUAAGUCCUUGAAGACAGAUAAGUGACAGGAAUGCUCAACAUGUUCCUCAGUGAUAAGAAAAACAGAGCAAUAAACAACUUUAAACCCACCAAAGCAUGAAAUGAGGAUCCUGACUUAGCAAAGGAUGAAGAAUGUGAGGAUAAGCAUUGAACUUUGGUUCCUCUGGACUGGAGUGCAGAUGAUGUCAGAACUCACUUGUGUGAAUUGAUGCUCUUUUCAUCUCCCCCUGCACAGAUUCUUCAAACUUUAAGAAUGAAGUGAUGUGGUAUAGUAUUGGAAGAUAACCAGAGUGCUUCUAAUCCUGCCCUGGCCCUUUCAUUUUUUAUCACAGAACCUGAAUGACAAAGCGCCAAUUCAGAUUAUGCUUUCUGACCCCACUCCCACAUGAUUAGGGAUGUGAGCAUGCCUGGAGCACACACAUCCGGCUCCCCUUUUGUCACACCAGGGAAAUGCUGCCUAAUUGUAUAGGGGCUAGUUCAUCUGUACCACCCCUCCACAUGUAAUUUUAACACUAUUUUAAAAUACUAUUUAAAUCACACAUGGAGAGUCAGUUCCAACAGGACCCCCCACCCCCCACGAUUAAGCAAUGGUGCCUCAGUGCAAUGGGAUAUAUGGGAUAUGCAUAUGUUCAUGGCCCAAUCAUUUUUCAAAUAAUGAGUGGGUGGGGCCAGUUGGAAAAGUUUUGUCUGUGCCCACCAAAGAAAGUGAAGUCACCUGCUUACUUCAGCCUUCUCUCUACAAACAAUUCUAAAGUCUGCAUUGGAUCCCUCAGAGGUAAGCAACUAUUGGCCUCUCUCCAACUUUCUGUGGUUGGGCACGGUGACUGAGACGGUGGUGGAAUCCCAGCUCCAGGCAGUCUUGGAGGAAACUGAUUAUCUAGACCCAUUUCAAAUGGGCUUCUGGGUGGCCUAUGAGGUGGAAACUGCCUUGGUCGGCCUGAUGAAUGAUCUCCAGUUAGGAAAUGACAGAGGGAGUAAAACUCUGUUGGUCCUUUUGAAUCUCAGCGGCUAUCGAUACUAUUGACCAUAGUAUCCUUCUGGAGCCCCUGAAGGGGUUGGGGGUGGGAGGCACUGCUCUUCAGUGGUUCUGCUCCUAUCUCUUGGGCAGAUUCCAGAUGGUGUCCUUUGGAGACUGUUGCUCUUAAAAAACUUUCAUAUGUUGCCCCUCAGUGCUCAAAAUUGUCUCUAAUACUUUUAAACAUCUAAAUGAAACUGCUGGG